rnacentral:SRP_RNA from 1 species
CGUUUGCAUCUUCGCGACGACCGGCCGCGAAACCCGUCAGGCCCGGAAGGGAGCAGCGGUAACGGCUUAGGUCGGGCGCCGAAGUCCUGCGGGCGCGG